rnacentral:rRNA from 1 species
UGGGGAAUAUUGGACAAUGGGCGAAAGCCUGAUCCAGCCAUGCCGCGUGUGUGAAGAAGGUCUUCGGAUUGUAAAGCACUUUAAGUUGGGAGGAAGGGCAGUAAGCGAAUACCUUGCUGUUUUGACGUUACCGACAGAAUAAGCACCGGCUAACUCUGUGCCAGCAGCCGCGGUAAUACAGAGGGUGCAAGCGUUAAUCGGAAUUACUGGGCGUAAAGCGCGCGUAGGUGGUUCGUUAAGUUGAAUGUGAAAGCCCCGGGCUCAACCUGGGAACUGCAUCCAAAACUGGCGAGCUAGAGUAGGGCAGAGGGUGGUGGAAUUACCUGUGUAGCGGUGAGAUGCGUAGAUAUAGGAAGGAACACCAGUGGCGAAGCCGACCACCUGGGCUCAUACUGACACUGAGGUGCGAAAGCGUGGGGAGCAAACAGG